GCGCAGGGUGGAUGCCUUGGCACUAAGAGCCGAUGAAAGACGUGAUAAGCUGCGAAAAGCUUCGGGGAGGAGCACAUAUCCAAUGAUCCGGAGAUAUCUGAAUGGGGAAACCCGGCAGAGGAAACCUCUGUCAGCGUGCAGUGAAUACAUAGCUGUACGUGGGGAACCCGGGGAACUGAAACAUCUAAGUACCCGGAGGAAGAGAAAGAAAAUUUAUCGAUUUCCAAAGUAGCGGCGAGCGAAAUGGAAAGAGCCCAAACCGUGAUGCGUGCAUCGCGGGGUUCGGACUGCGUUGUGGCAGACGUAAGAUAGGAGAACGGACUGGGAAGUCCGGCCGGAGAGAGUGAAAGCCUCGUAUCCGAAAUCCCAAGUCGCCUAGCAGGAUCCAGAGUAGGACGAGACACGAGAAACCUUGUCUGAACGAGCGGGGACCACCCCGUAAGGCUAAAUACUUCUUAGUGACCGAUAGCGCAUAGUACUGUGAAGGAAAGGUGAAAAGGACCCCGGGAGGGGAGUGAAAGAGAACCUGAAACCCUGUGUCUACAAGCUGUGGGACCUCUUUAUAUGAGGGACUGCGUACUUUUUGUAGAACGGUCCGGCGAGUUGUGCGUACUGGCGAGGUUAAGGACUUAAGGUCUGGAGCCGAAGUGAAAGCAAGCGUUAAUAGCGCGUCAAGUCAGUGAGUGCAGACCCGAAACCGGGUGACCUAUCCAUGUCCAGGUUGAAGCUUCCGUAAGAGGAAGUGGAGGACCGAACCCACAUCCGUUGAAAAGGGUGGGGAUGAGGUGUGGAUAGCGGAGAAAUUCCAAUCGAACCCGGAGAUAGCUGGUUCUCCUCGAAAUAGCUUUAGGGCUAGCCUCAUGAGAGUCUUUUGGAGGUAGAGCACUGAAUUGCCGCGGGGGCGUCAAAGCUUACCAAAGGAUAUCAAACUCCGAAUGCCAUCAAGAUGAUUCAUGGGAGUCAGACCAUACGAGAUAAGUUGGAUGGUCAAAAGGGAAAGAGCCCAGACCUACAGCUAAGGUCCCAAAGUGCGUGUUAAGUGGAAAAGGAUGUGGGGAUUCUAAGACAACUAGGACGUUGGCUUAGAAGCAGCCAUUCAUUGAAAGAGUGCGUAAUAGCUCACUAGUCGAGAGGUCCUGCGCCGAAAAUGUCCGGGGCUGAAACACGACACCGAAGCUUAGGAAUGUGUAAACAUUGGUAGAGGAGCAUUGCUGGCGGGAUGAAGCCAUACCGAAAGGAGUGGUGGACUGCCAGGAAGAGAGAAUGCCGGAAUGAGUAGCGAGAUGAAGGUGAGAAUCCUUCAGGCCGAAUAUCUAAGGUUUCCAGAGUAAAGCUGAUCUGCUCUGGGUAAGUCGGGACCUAAGGCGAGGUCGAAAGACGUAGUCGAUGGAUAACAGGUUGAAAUUCCUGUACCGCAUAUAAACAGAACUGUGGGGACACAGACAGGGAAUGGAAUCCGGGGAUGGAAAACCCGGAGCAAGCGAGGUAGGAGUGCUGUUGGCAAAUCCGCAGCACGAUCUGAAGACGUGAUGCGUACCGAACAUAAGUAGGGAAGUCCAGGCCCCUGGCUGUCAAGAAAAGCCGCUAUUGUUUUAUAUGUGCCCGUACCGCAAACCGACACAGGUGGAUGAGGAGAGAAUCCUAAGGCCGACGGGAGAAGUAUUGUUAAGGAACUCGGCAAAAUGACUCCGUAACUUCGGGAGAAGGAGUGCCAUGAGAGUGGCCGCAGAGAAAUGGCCCAAGCAACUGUUUAGCAAAAACACAGGUCUAUGCAAAACCGCAAGGUGAAGUAUAUGGGCUGACGCCUGCCCGGUGCUGGAAGGUUAAGGGGAGAUGUCAGGAGACGAAGCAUCGAACUUAAGCCCCAGUAAACGGCGGCCGUAACAAUAACGGUCCUAAGGUAGCGAAAUUCCUUGUCGGGUAAGUUCC
rnacentral:rRNA from 1 species